rnacentral:rRNA from 1 species
GAUGAACGCUAGCGGGAGGCUUAACACAUGCAAGUCGAGGGGUAAGUGUAGCAAUACACCAAGACCGGCGGACGGGUGCGUAACGCGUAUGCAACCUGCCUUAUACAGGGGGAUAGCCCGUGGAAACGCGGAUUAACACCCCAUAGUACAUUUAAGCUGCAUGGCAAAAAUGGGAAAACUGAGGUGGUAUAAGAUGGGCAUGCGUCUGAUUAGUUAGUUGGUAGGGUAACGGCCUACCAAGGCGACGAUCAGUAGGGGUUCUGAGAGGAUAAUCCCCCACACUGGUACUGAGACACGGACCAGACUCCUACGGGAGGCAGCAGUGAGGAAUAUUGGUCAAUGGGCGAGAGCCUGAACCAGCCAUUCCGCGUGAAGGAAGAUGGCCUUACGGGUUGUAAACUUCUUUUCUGUAAGAAAAAUAGCCCCGAUGUAUCGGGGUAUGACGGUAUUAUAGGAAUAAGCAUCGGCUAACUCCGUGCCAGCCGCCGCAGUAAAAC